rnacentral:rRNA from 1 species
GGCCUACGGGGGGCUGCAGUGGGGAAUUUUGGACAAUGGGCGCAAGCCUGAUCCAGCCAUGCCGCGUGUGUGAAGAAGGCCUUCGGGUUGUAAAGCACUUUCGGACGGAACGAAAUCGCGCGGGCGAAUAUCCCGCGUGGAUGACGGUACCGUAAGAAGAAGCACCGGCUAACUACGUGCCAGCAGCCGCGGUAAUACGUAGGGUGCGAGCGUUAAGCGGAAUUCCUGGGCGGAAAGCGUGCGCGGGUGGCGUCGCAAGUCAGGCGUGAAAUCCCCGGGCUUAACUGGGGAAUUGCGCUUGAAACUACGAUGCUGGAGUGCGGCAGAGGGAGGUGGAAUUCCACGUGUAGCGGUGAAAUGCGUAGAGAUGUGGAGGAACACCGAUGGCGAAGGCAGCCUCCUGGGUCGACACUGACGCUCAUGCACGAAAGCGUGGGGAGCAAACAGGAUUAGAUACCCCAGUAGUCAG